UUUUUACUAACAUCUAGACUUCAAGUGAGUUCACUUAUGAAUGAAUUCUUCUCCCUCAUGUAUAUAUAAUGUUUAAGCUAAGCACACAGGUGACUCACCUGCUAGCUCCCUAAGUUCCAUAAGCAUGUCAAUGUUUUUUUUUCGUUUAAGGCCACAGUCUCUAAAUAGACUUCCAUAUCGUGCCCCAAUCUAACACUUGAACACUUGAAAAAUUUUGGUAGUAAUUAAACCAAGUCGUAUGUCAUUUUAUGUGAACAUUACUAGUACAUGUAAA
rnacentral:lncRNA from 1 species